rnacentral:rRNA from 4 species
UUAAAUUGAAGAGUUUGAUCAUGGCUCAGAUUGAACGCUGGCGGCAGGCCUAACACAUGCAAGUCGAACGGUAACAGGAAGCAGCUUGCUGCUUCGCUGACGAGUGGCGGACGGGUGAGUAAUGUCUGGGAAACUGCCUGAUGGAGGGGGAUAACUACUGGAAACGGUGGCUAAUACCGCAUAACGUCGCAAGACCAAAGAGGGGGACCUUCGGGCCUCUUGCCAUCAGAUGUGCCCAGAUGGGAUUAGCUUGUUGGUGAGGUAACGGCUCACCAAGGCGACGAUCCCUAGCUGGUCUGAGAGGAUGACCAGCCACACUGGAACUGAGACACGGUCCAGACUCCUACGGGAGGCAGCAGUGGGGAAUAUUGCACAAUGGGCGCAAGCCUGAUGCAGCCAUGCCGCGUGUAUGAAGAAGGCCUUCGGGUUGUAAAGUACUUUCAGCGGGGAGGAAGGUGUUGUGGUUAAUAACCGCAGCAAUUGACGUUACCCGCAGAAGAAGCACCGGCUAACUCCGUGCCAGCAGCCGCGGUAAUACGGAGGGUGCAAGCGUUAAUCGGAAUUACUGGGCGUAAAGCGCACGCAGGCGGUCUGUCAAGUCGGAUGUGAAAUCCCCGGGCUCAACCUGGGAACUGCAUUCGAAACUGGCAGGCUUGAGUCUUGUAGAGGGGGGUAGAAUUCUAGGUGUAGCGGUGAAAUGCGUAGAGAUCUGGAGGAAUACCGGUGGCGAAGGCGGCCCCCUGGACAAAGACUGACGCUCAGGUGCGAAAGCGUGGGGAGCAAACAGGAUUAGAUACCCUGGUAGUCCACGCCGUAAACGAUGUCUACUUGGAGGUUGUGCCCUUGAGGCGUGGCUUCCGGAGCUAACGCGUUAAGUAGACCGCCUGGGGAGUACGGCCGCAAGGUUAAAACUCAAAUGAAUUGACGGGGGCCCGCACAAGCGGUGGAGCAUGUGGUUUAAUUCGAUGCAACGCGAAGAACCUUACCUGGUCUUGACAUCCACGGAAGAAUUCAGAGAUGGAUUUGUGCCUUCGGGAACCGUGAGACAGGUGCUGCAUGGCUGUCGUCAGCUCGUGUUGUGAAAUGUUGGGUUAAGUCCCGCAACGAGCGCAACCCUUAUCCUUUGUUGCCAGCGGUCCGGCCGGGAACUCAAAGGAGACUGCCAGUGAUAAACUGGAGGAAGGUGGGGAUGACGUCAAGUCAUCAUGGCCCUUACGACCAGGGCUACACACGUGCUACAAUGGCGCAUACAAAGAGAAGCGACCUCGCGAGAGCAAGCGGACCUCAUAAAGUGCGUCGUAGUCCGGAUUGGAGUCUGCAACUCGACUCCAUGAAGUCGGAAUCGCUAGUAAUCGUGGAUCAGAAUGCCACGGUGAAUACGUUCCCGGGCCUUGUACACACCGCCCGUCACACCAUGGGAGUGGGUUGCAAAAGAAGUAGGUAGCUUAACCUUCGGGAGGGCGCUUACCACUUUGUGAUUCAUGACUGGGGUGAAGUCGUAACAAGGUAACCGUAGGGGAACCUGCGGUUGGAUCACCUCCUUACCUGAAAGAAGC